rnacentral:lncRNA from 1 species
GAACCUCUGUAUGCAGGCGUUUUUUUGGUGCUUGAGAGGGAAAGAAACAAAAGGCCCAGCAUCACACACGCACACAGACAAACACAAAUAUAGGCAUAUAUAUAGGCGUAUAUGAUGCAACUCUACCCUUUCCAAGUAUAUAUAUAUAUAUGUAUGUUUAUAUAUAUAUAUAUAUAUAUAUAUAUAUAUAUAUAUAUAUAUAUAUAUAAUGUAUGUAUAUAUAGAGAGAGAUAGAUAGAUAGAUAGAUAGAUAGAUAGAUAGAUAGAUAGAUAGAUAGAUAGAUAGAUAGAUAGAUAGAUAGAUAGAUAGAUAGAUAGAUAGAUAGAUAGAUAGAUAGAUAGAUAGAUAGAUAGAUAGAUAGAUAGAUAGAUAGAUAGAUAGAUAGAUAGAUAGGUAGAUAGAUAGAUAUGUAUAUACGCACAACCACAGAUAUGCAUGUAUUUACAUAUGUGUGUGUGUUUGUGCGUGUGGGGGGGGGCGACAAUCAUUACUACUAAUCUUCGAAUGUGUAGUCAUCGUCAGAUGUCUGACAAUUGCUAGUUAAGCGAACACGUAACUUACUGUGAAGCUUCUUGUAGGAAUUGUUAAGAUAUACAAUUCUAGUAAAAACUUUUCAAUGAUUCUUCAGUUUUAUGUUCAAGAGCUCUUAUGAACAGAAUUGCAUAAAAAGAAGCAUAAAUAACCAUAUAACCAUAGGCACACACGUGUGUAUAUAUGUGUGUGUACACACACACACACACAUAUAUAUAUAUAUAUAUAUAUAAUAACAUAUAUAUAAUAGAAAUAUUAAAAUAACUAAGUCUCUCUAAAAGAGAACAGCGGCAGCGUUCCCGGAAAAUAAUAGUUAUCGCCAUACUAAUAUGGCAUUCUUAUAAAAAUAAGAAAAAGCUGUCCACUUAUUAGCUCCAUGAGGCCAUCGCCUUAAGUUAGCUAUUUGAUACACAAACUGUAUCCAUAUAACCUUCGAACAAGGGAGGUCAGUCGCUCCACACUACUUGACCGGCAGCUACAGAAGGUUAUAUGGAUACAGUUUGUGUAUCAAAUAGCUAACUUAAGGCGAUGGCCUCAUGGAGCUAAUAAGCGGACAGCUUUAUUCUUAUUUUUAUAAGAAUGCCAUAUUAGUAUGGCGAUAACUAUUAUUUUCCGGGAACGCUGCCACUGUUCUCUUUUAGAGAGACUUAGUAAUUUUAAUAUUUCUAUUAUUGAAAACAAGUGGAUGUAUUCCACUGAAACUAGGUAAAUAAAACCAUCGAACAGAGAUUGUCGGAAGCGACACCUACUGGCUGGCUACGCUGCAUUGAAAAGGGGCAAUACCCCGAAACGCGUCUGUAGCUGCCGGUCAAGUAGUGUGGAGCGACUGACCUCCCUUGUUCGAAGGUUAUAUGGAUACAGUUUGUGUAUCAAAUAGCUAACUUAAGGCGAUGGCCUCAUGGAGCUAAUAAGUGGACAGCUUUAUUCUUAUUUUUAUAAGAAUGCCAUAUUAGUAUAUGAUAACUAUUAUAUAUAUAUAUAUAUAUAUAUAUAUAUAUAUAUAUAUAUAUAUAUAUAUAUAUAUAUAUAUAUAUAUAUAUAUAUAUAUAUAUAUAUAUAAGAGAGAGAGAGAGAGAGAGAGAGAGAGAGAGAGAGAGAGAGGUAAAAUGGCCCACUGGUUAGGGCAGCAGACUCGCAGUCGUAGAAUCGCGGUUUCGAUUCCCAAUCCGGGCGUUGUGAGUGUUUAUUGAGCGAAAGCAUCUAAAGAUCCAUGAGGCACCAGCAGGGGCUGGUAACGAACCCUUCUGUACUCCUUCACCACAACUUUCUCUCACUCUGUGUCACGCCGAGCAUCUCCCCUGAGAACUAUGUUAAUGGUACACGUGUCCGUGGAGUGCUCGGCCACUUACACGUUAAUUUCACAAGCAGGCUGUUCUGUUGAUCGGAUCAACUGGAACCCUCGUCGUCGCAAACGACGGAGUACCACGAUAUAUACAUAUAUAAAUAUAUUUCAUGCUUCUGUGUAUGUAAGUAUGUGUGCGUGAAUCAAUUUAAGAUUAUUUACUGUUGCUGCUGUUUAGCCCUAGUCCAGUCCUGAUGCGGUCCAGCAUAUCUAUGAUCCAAAACAUUCCUAUCUGUGACUAUGGUUUAAGAUGUGAUGUGAAGUAAAGAGAUUUGGCUGCUAUUUCUAGCAAGUCUGGUGACUCCCUGUAGGUUCCCUAUAUCCAUAGGCGUGUGUAUAUUAUCUCAUAUAAACGUGUGUCUCUUUUGUUUGACUAGUCUAUUAUAUGCUGCAUUAUGGAGUAUAUAACGCAGUGAUAUAUGAAUCUGUGUGUGUGUGGAAAAAAACUGCAAAGUGAAACAUAUCCACACGCAAGGGAGUACGGGUGUGCCGAUUAUAUCAGUAUGUGUGUAUACACGAAAAUGUAUAUAUAUGUUAAGAUAUCUAUACAUAUGCAUAUAUAUGCAUAUAUAUAUAUAUAUGUAUUCAUGUAUUUAUUUAUGUAUAAUUAUGUGUGUGUGCAUGCAUGCACACAUAUAUUUGCAUAUACAUGUACAUAUACACAUACUCACAUAUAUAUAUAUAUAUAUAUACAUACAUACAUAAAUAUAUAUCUAUAUGCACACAUCUAUAUAUAUGUAUGUAUGUAUGUAUGUAUGUAUGUAUGUAUGUAUGUAUGUAUGUAUGUAUGUAUGCAUACAUAUGUAUAUAUGUAUAUGUUAUAUAUAUAUAUAUAUAUAUAUAUAUAUAUAUAUAUAUAUAUAUAUAUAUAUAUACACAUAUAAGGCAGAUGUAACAGGAAUAACAGGAACUAAUUUCCAUUUCUGCCAUUAUUCUGUGACAAUAAUGGCGCCGAAUCACACGCGGGUCCUUUUGUUUUCAAUUCUUGUGAAUCUUAUUUUCUAAGAAUCACUACUCGCUAUCUAAUUUCCGAAAGACCUCGGUGAUUCUUUGCCAGGAAUCUUCAUCACAAUACAAACUUCUUGUGUAUUUGCUGGUCUUCUGUUUUACGGAUGGAGAAAAGCAUCGUAGGAAUGGUUAUCCCUCUCUGUUUUAAUAAUAUUAUUAUAAACUUUUUGCGUGAAUAUUUUGAGCAUUGAAUUUAAUUUCAAAUUCAAUAUUCUGUAUCUCUAUAUUUGGAGACAAUUGUUUCUACAUUCCGUGCCAUCUUCAGUAAAACCUGUUCGAGAAAUACAAUAGUUGCAUUUAUUAACCAUUCCAUAUUGGACAACAGCAAACUAAUUUUGUCACUCCAGUACUUAUUGCUUUAAGCCUAGUACCUACUCGAUCAGUUUCUGUUGCUGAACACACCAACAACGGUUGUCAAGCGGUGAUGGCCGACCAACAAAUGCACAAAAUGACACACAAAAAAAUACUCACACGCACACACACACACAUAUAUAUAUAUAUAUAUAUAUAUGUGUGUGUGUGUGUGUGUGUGUGUGUGUGUGUGUACAUAUAUAUAUAUAUAUACACAUACAUAUAUACAUAUAUAUAUACGUAUAUGUUUAUAUACAUAUAUGUAUAUAUAUGUAUAUACAUAUAUAUAUACACACAUACAUAUAUACAUAUAUGUUUAUAUAUAUAAAUAUAUACGUGAAGGUGCAUGGCUCAGUGGUUAGAGCGUCGAGCUUACGAUCGUGAGGUUGUGAGCUCGAAUCCCGGUCCGGGCUGCGUGUUGUGCUCUUGAGCAAGACACUUUAUUUCACGUUGCUCCAGUUCACUCAGCUGUAGAAAUGAGUUGCGACGUCACUGGUGCCAAGCUGUAUCGACCUUUGUCUUUCCCUUGGAUAACACUGGUGGCGUGGAGAGGGAGGCUGGUAUGCAUGGGCGACUGCUGGUCUUCCAUAAACAACCUUGCGCGGACUUGUGUCUAGGAGGGUAACUUUCUAGGUGCAAUCCCAUGGUCAUUCAUGACCGAAGGGGUCUUUACCCUUUUUAUAUAUAUAUAUAUAUAUGUAUAAAUAUAUGUAUAUAUAUAUAUAUAUGCACGUACAUACAUGCAUACAUACAUACAUAUAUACAUGCAUAUACACGUCGAGCAUAAACUCUGAUUCGCAGAGAAGGUAAGUAGUAAGGACCACGUCCGUGUUUGUCCCUUGUCAUUCAAAGAUCGAAUUCUGCAUCUGCUCUCUCCUGCAUCCGCUCAUUUCAUUUCCAAUCAAUUCAAAUGCUGAUCUUGUCUCCCAUCCCGUUCACAUGGAUCAUCAUAAACAAUGAUAUUUUCUUUCUUUCAAAUUCUAAUUGAUUAUUAUUAUCAUUCUUCUUCCCUUUCAGCACACUGCAUUGAAUAUGUUGGUCUGCACUUAGUAGCAUGUUCUUCGGGCGGAUGGUAUCCUUGAGAACAAUUUUCAGCCCCAAGUCAUAAAAGAACAGAUAACCAAGUGCUGGG